rnacentral:rRNA from 1 species
GACGAACGCUGGCGGCGUGCUUAACACAUGCAAGUCGAACGGAGCGAAUGAAAGCUUGCUUUUAUGAGCUUAGUGGCAAACGGGUGAGUAACACGUAGACAACCUGCCGACAGGAUGGGGACAACAUUCCGAAAGGAAUGCUAAUACCGAAUGAAGCGGAGGAGAGGCAUCUCUCCUCCGUGAAAGAUGGCCUCUAUUUAUAAGCUAUCACCUGUCGAUGGGUCUGCGUCUGAUUAGCUAGUUGGUGAGGUAACGGCUCACCAAGGCGACGAUCAGUAGCCGGUCUGAGAGGAUGAACGGCCACAUUGGGACUGAGACACGGCCCAGACUCCUACGGGAGGCAGCAGUGGGGAAUCUUCCGCAAUGGGCGCAAGCCUGACGGAGCAACGCCGCGUGAGUGAAGAAGGUCUUCGGAUCGUAAAGCUCUGUUGAUGGGGACGAACGUGCGAAGGGUGAACAAUCCUUGCAAUGACGGACCUAUCGAGAGCCC